rnacentral:rRNA from 1 species
AGAGUUUGAUCCUGGCUCAGAACGAACGCUGGCGGCGUGGAUAAGACAUGCAAGUUGAACGGUUGAUUCAAAGUAGCAAUAUUUUGGGUUAGCAGUGGCGUAAGGGUGCUUAACACGUGGGUAAUCUGCCGCGAAGUGUGGGAUAACUCGCUGAAAGGCGAGCUAAUACCGCAUGUGAUUUUCUUGAGGCAUCUCAGGGAAUUCAAACAUGGGUCGCAAGGCCUGUGGUUUCGCGAUGAGCCCGCGGCCUAUCAGCUAGUUGGCGGGGUAAAAGCCCACCAAGGCUAAGACGGGUAGCUGGUCUGAGAGGACGACCAGCCACACUGGAACUGAGACACGGUCCAGACACCUACGGGUGGCAGCAGUCGAGAAUUUUUCACAAUGGGGGAAACCCUGAUGGAGCGACGCCGCGUGGGGGAUGAAGGGCUUCGGUUCGUAAACCCCUGUCAUUGGCGAACAAGUGUUACGUUCUAAUACAGCGUGACUUGAUAGUAGCCGAAGAGGAAGGGACGGCUAACUCUGUGCCAGCAGCCGCGGUAAUACAGAGGUCCCGAGCGUUGUUCGGAUUCACUGGGCGUAAAGGGUGCGU